CUUCUUCCCUGUGCCUCUCGAUGCGUAUGGAGAAGGACAGGUUCUCUGUGAACCUGGACGUGAAGCACUUCUCUCCAGAGGAACUCAAAGUCAAGGUUCUGGGAGACGUGAUUGAGGUGCACGGCAAGCACGAAGAGCGCCAGGACGAACAUGGCUUCAUCUCCAGGGAGUUCCACAGGAAGUACCGGAUCCCAGCCGACGUGGAUCCUCUCACCAUUACUUCUUCCCUGUCAUCGGAUGGAGUCCUCACUGUGAAUGGACCAAGGAAACAGGCCUCUGGCCCUGAGCGCACCAUUCCCAUCACCCGUGAAGAGAAGCCUGCUGUCACUGCAGCCCCUAAGAAGUAGAUUCCCUUUCCUCGUUGCAUUUUUUAAGACAAGGAAGUUUCCCAUCAGCGAAUGAACAUCUGUGACUAGUGCCGAAGCUUACUAAUGCUAAGGGCUGGCCCAGAUUAUUAAGCUAAUAAAAAAUAUCGUUCAGCAAC
rnacentral:lncRNA from 1 species